rnacentral:ncRNA from 1 species
GUAGAGUUGUGGUGUGUCGGUGGCUUCGUUUGAGCCAAGAAACUGGCGAGAAGUUGCCGCCUAAAGCAGCUCUCAUUCUCUCAUCGUUGGUCGAUUGGGACCAUUGCAUAGUGUGAACGCCCGCUCGGGU